CGAGAAUAGUCUACAAUGGACGAAAGUCUGAUAGUGCGACGCCGCGUGAACGAAGACUCCCUAACAGGGUGUAAAGUUCUUUUAUAUGUGAGCAAUGGAUUAUAUAUUAAUAGUAUAUAGUCAGAGAUAUUAGCAUAUGAAUAAGCAACGGCUAACUCCGUGCCAGCAGCCGCGGUAACACGGGGGUUGCAAGCGUUGUCCGGAAUUACUAGGCGUAAAGGGCAGGUAGGCGGAUCAGUAAGUUUGAUGUCAAAUCCAUCGGCUCACCCGAUGAUAGGCAUUAGAUACUGCUGAUCUGGAAUACGGUUGAGGAAGACAGAAUUCCUGGUGUAGCGGUGGAAUGCGCAGAGAUCAGGAGGAAUACCAAAUGCGAAGGCAGUCUUCUAGGCCGUUAUUGACGCUAAACUGCGAAGGUGUGGGGAUCAAACA
rnacentral:rRNA from 1 species